rnacentral:rRNA from 1 species
AGGAAUGUAUAGCAAUAGCUAGUUGCAUCAUUGUAAAGAUGAUGCAAUAUUGACUAUGUUGAAUAAAAUUCUAGGUAGAAUUAUGAUAAUGACAUUGUCUGCCUAUGUGUCUUGACCAAAUUACGUGCCAGCAGUCGCGGUAAUACGUAGAAGACUAGUGUUAUUCAUGUUUAAUCGGUUUAAAGGGUACCUAGACGGCAGAUCAAGCUUUCCGAGCAGAAAAAAAAGUAAAAGGACUAAUUUGCUAGAGUUACUUACGAGGGGGUUUUAAAGUACUGCUGGUGUAGAGAUGAAAUUCUUUAAUACCUAUUUUCGAAAGAAUUAUAAUGGCACAGGUAUAGGCGAAGGCAUCCCCUUAUGUGAUAACUGACGUUGAGGGACGAAGGCUUUAUACAACGAACGGGAUUAGAUACCCCAUUAGUGGAAGCAGUAAAUGAUGAAUGUCAUAGAUUAGCUAGAUAGGUUCAUUCUAUAAAUGAAAGUGUAAGCAUUCCACCUCAUGAGUAAUAUGGCAACAUUGGAAUUGAAAUCAUUAGACCGUAUCUGAAACCAGUAGUGAAGUAUGUUGUUUAAUUUGAUGAUCCGCAAAAAACCUUACCACAAUUUGAAUAUUUAUAUUUUUUUUUAUUGUUUUGUCAUUAAUUUUCUUCUCUUUACAGAAAUAACAUAACAUUCAAGUAAAGUGGAAAAAAAUUAAUAAAGAGGCAAUAAGAUAUAUUUACAAGCGUUGCACGGCUGUCUUCAGUUAAUGUCGCGAGAUUUUGGUUAGAUCCAUAAAAUUAACGUAAACCCUUACUUUAUUUUUAGAUAGAGUUGUUCCCCACUAUAUUGGAUAUGAU